ACGACUCGUGACACCGAUGAUCUCUCUCUCUCUCUCUCUCUCGCUCUGGCUCUGUGUGGACUGUACAGAGUGACUGAUUUCCUUCCUUCCCACCACCCAACUUACGCUCAGCAUCUCCCCCACUUCCCUCGCAUCCUUUGAAGUCUCUCUCUCUCUCUCUCUCUCUCCCCACUUCGGUUCUCACAACCUCUGCACUUCUCUCUCCAACCGCCUCCCGCCCUCUCUCAAUUCUUCCUCCGCCGGUUUUCCAUCAAACAGCGGAAAUUUGAAGUGACCCAAUUGCGGGGCGUUCGGAAAUGGACCUGAUUCUCCUGGAGGAAAAGGAUGCUGCCGAUUGGGUUUACAGAGGCGAAGGAGCUGCGAACAUCGUCCUCGCUUACGCUGGAUCCGCUCCACAUCUCGUUGGAAAAGUUUUGCGGAUACACAAGGCUCCCGAAAAUGGAACACAUUGCUCCAAUGGUUCCUUGAGCUUUUCCAAGCACGAACGUCUCUUGUGGAAAGAUUUUGAAGAACUUGUACAGUCCCCGACUAAAGAAAUUGCAGCCCAGCAAUAUGCACAACAUGUGAUUAGCCCGUUGUUAGGUUCAAAACAUGUAGAUGCCGGGAUUCAAGUCCUUGUAUCUAGGGAAUUUCUUGAGGAAAUUGAGAGAAAUAUUAAGAGUCAUCGUCCUGAUUGGCGAAUCGAUGCUGCCAAGGUUGAUACACUUAACGAAUCUGCACUUCUAAUUUCUGACCAUUCCCUUUUCCCUCAUGGUAUCUUCAAAGGCAAUGCCUGCAUAUCUGUAGAGAUAAAGCCCAAAUGUGGAUUUCUACCAUUCUCCAAACACAUUGCCAGGCAGAAUGCAAUUAAGAGGAGCACUACUCGUUUUAAAAUGCACCAAGUCCUGAAGUUCCGUCAACAAAAGAUACCAAAUCUAAGUGAAUAUGAUCCGUUGGAUCUGUUCUCUGGAUCCAAGGAAAGAAUACAUGAAGCUUUAAAAGCUUUGUGCAACAACCCGCAGAACAAUUUCCGCGUGUUCUUGAAUGGUUCUCUCAUUUUGGGUGGGUUUGGUGGUGUUGCAGACAAUUCUACCACAACUGCUGAAGCACUUGAAGAUGUAUUUAAAUAUGUCAUCGAGGCAGAUGAUGGUUUACGAAUGACAAGUUUUCUUGAGCUUCUCACCGAGACAGUUUAUAAAUCUGGAGUAUUGGACCGUCUUCUUGAUGUUCAGAAGCUCGAUAAUUAUGAUGUAGAAGGAGCAAUUCAUGCAUACUAUAAUUUUAUAUCUCAACCUUGUUCAGUAUGUAGACAGCUGGGUGAAGACAAAGUCUCGCCCAUAUCUACCUUUUUGCAUGCGCUUCCUCCCAACGAGAGCUUGGAGAUUGUGAAAAAAUUUUUGAUAGCUGCAACUGCAAAAGAUUGCAGUUUAAUGUUUUGUUUCAGACGAAGGGAAGAUGGUGGUUCAGAUUCUCCAUAUGACCGGGUUUACCUAGAGUCAACUAACCAAGUGUUUGAUUAUAAGGUGCAUUUCAUUGACCUGGAUUUGAAGCCUUUGGAGAAGAUGGAGUACUACUAUGAACUAGAUCAGAAGAUUGUGAGCGCCUACACUGAGGCCCUGCAAAAUGGACCGGGAACAGAGAACAAUCAUACCGUCAAAUUGUAUGAAAGUAUACAAUGAUGGAGGACAUACUGUAUAGCCUAGGGAUUACAGUUGUUGAUGAUUCUGUGUUUUGCUCUACAAGGUUUGAAAGACCUUUAUGUCUUUCAAGGAACCAGAGCUAUGAGAGUCCAUACGCUUCCAGAAGCAGCUGCUGCUAUAUGCUUAACCAGAUAUUCUUUAUGUGAAGGCCGGUCCUGGUACAGAUGUGUAUUAGUUCUUGCAUCAUCUAGAUACAUAUACGCAUCUAUCUGCACAUAUUAAUUCGAUAUUCUUUCCUUCUUAUGCGGAGGCUCAUGCAGCUUUGACAAGUUAGGUGAACAACUGAGUGUCCAAAAGGAAAUAAAUAAUAAAAGAAAGAUGAUAUGGACGGGACAGAGUUUUUGGCCAUGGCCGCAGAGCCCAAUAGAAAGUGAUGGAUUAACUACUUAAAGGGUCAUACCAUCCCAUACCACAUGGCUUAUUAAUUCAUCCAGCUGGAUCUUGAUUUUUUGCAUUUUUCUUUUCUUCUUGUUCUUUAGCUGUAUGCUAAAUGUGCUGGAUGAAGUGUUGCCCUGUCCAUCCCUCAGUACACUAAUAACUGCAAGUUUUUGGUGUUUCUGGCGCAAUAUAUGUGACAUAACCUUUUAAGAUUAAUUUCUAUAUCGGAUGAAAUUUAGCAA